ACCAAACCGUGCCGUCAUGCACGCUUGACGAGAAUCUCUAACCUCGCUGCCCCAAGAAGACACCAAAAAUCCAACAUUUAACUUCAAACUUGUUAGCAGCGCAAAGGAAAACGAGUGGCUUAUUCAGUGGCACACACUCUGUUUUAUUUUUAGCUUCCAUGUUUUAUAUGCAUGCCCAUUCUAUUGUUUUAUUUAUAUUUUUUCUUUAAAUUCUGUCAAAAUAAAAUUUGGAAGGGGAUCUGCUACAAUUGAAGUAGAGCUUAAUUCAAGCGAGCUUCCUAACCAACAGAUCUACGAGUACUUCCAUAUGGGAUUUUUUCCUCUUCUUACUGUCUUCAGCACCCGCCUGCUCGCUCGAGGACACACAUGCAACAACGGUAGUCAGGGCCACUAACUAGUCCAUCACCUGGCACAUAUGCAAAUUUCAGAAGAUUCAAUGUGCUCAUCAUGGGCACCCCAAAAGUAUAUGCAUAUACAGUUUUAUGCAUCCAUAGUUGCUACUCUUAUUGAAAAAUCCAUUCGAAUUAUUAAAAGAACAUUUAUUACAACUAGGACAAUACAAGUAGGAGCAAGAUAUAUGCAUUCCAACUACAACAUUAUUCAAGCAAAUCUUGAAUGAUAAGAUUUACAGUUGCAAGGUGCUCGCUCAAUUGUAGCACAAUGUGGCAAUAUUUAUGGGUGUUUCCAUUCGGACUAGGUCUAUAGGAAUCAUGAUAGUGAAUGUGGGAAAUAUACGCUGCCGCUAUGAGGAGGUAUACAGUGGAAUCAUUCCACCGAGAAAGCAUCCCAUGGCUUCUAUCGUAGAUGCCCCCAAUAGGCGAUUGUUCAUCACCGUUGUGUAAGGGGGCAUGAUGGCUGAAAGUUUGAUGUUUUUUUCCUGGUUGUACUGUAAGCUACAGCUGACCCUCGAUGACAUUACCGGAGAGAACAAACUAGGGCUAUUUUGCAUGCAUGAUGUAGGUCUCGCACACUCUUAUAAUUAGCAGUUCUGCAUGCGAUGCUUGGAUUUGGUUUCUUCCAAAGUCCCAUUAAAGCUAAUUAAGUUGAAGGCCAAUCCUAUAUAUCUUACAUUUGAUAGUCCGAGACCAUGGAUGAUAUGAUACCAAGUAGAAAGUGUUUGUGUAUAUAUAGAGGUGGGAUGGGAAGGGAGUGAGAC
rnacentral:lncRNA from 1 species